rnacentral:rRNA from 1 species
UACGUAGGUGGCAAGCGUUGUCCGGAUUUACUUGGCGUAAAGAGCGCGCCGGCGGCUGGGCAAGUCCGAUGUGAAAGCUUCCGGCUUAACUGGAAAAUUGCAUCGGAAACUGCUCGGCUUGAAGGUGGGAGAGGGUAGCGGAAUUCCCGGUGUAGUGGUGAAAUGCGUAGAUAUCGGGAGGAACACCAGUGGCGAAGGCGGCUACCUGGCCCACUCUUGACGCUGAGGCGCGAAAGCUAGGGGAGCAAACGGG